rnacentral:rRNA from 1 species
UACGUAGGGGGCAAGCGUUGUCCGGAAUCAUUGGGCGUAAAGCGCGUGUAGGCGGCCCGGUAAGUCCGCUGUGAAAGUCGGGGGCUCAACCCUCGAAUGCCGGUGGAUACUGUCGGGCUAGAGUACGGAAGAGGCGAGUGGAAUUCCUGGUGUAGCGGUGAAAUGCGCAGAUAUCAGGAGGAACACCCAUUGCGAAGGCAGCUCGCUGGGACGUUACUGACGCUGAGACGCGAAAGCGUGGGGAGCAAACAGG